GCCAGCAGCCUUAUCACCCUGCAACUCACAACUGGCAGCCCACUGAAGCUAAGCAGGUGUGAGCCUGGUCAGUACCUGGAUGGGAGACCUCCUGGAAAAAACUAAGGUUGCUGCUGGGA
rnacentral:rRNA from 1 species